rnacentral:rRNA from 1 species
GAUGAACGCUGGCGGCGUGCCUAAUACAUGCAAGUCGAGCGAACAGACGAGGAGCCUGCUCCUCUGACGUUAGCGGCGGACGGGUGAGUAACACGUGGAUAACCUACCUAUAAGACUGGGAUAACUUCGGGAAACCGGAGCUAAUACCGGAUAAUAUAUUGAACCGCAUGGUUCAAUAGUGAAAGACGGUUUUGCUGUCACUUAUAGAUGGAUCCGCGCCGCAUUAGCUAGUUGGUAAGGUAACGGCUUACCAAGGCAACGAUGCGUAGCCGACCUGAGAGGGUGAUCAGCCACACUGGAACUGAGACACGGUCCAGACUCCUACGGGAGGCAGCAGUAGGGAAUCUUCCGCAAUGGGCGAAAGCCUGACGGAGCAACGCCGCGUGAGUGAUGAAGGUCUUCGGAUCGUAAAACUCUGUUAUUAGGGAAGAACAAAUGUGUAAGUAACUAUGCACGUCUUGACGGUACCUAAUCAGAAAGCCACGGCUAACUACGUG